GGCUUAGGGGGUGGCUCGGUGGUUAGAGCGUAGAUCUCGUAACCGAAAGGUCGCGGGAUCGAAUCCCGCUAGAGGCUG
rnacentral:tRNA from 1 species